GACGAACGCUGGCUGCGUGCUUAACACAUGCAAGUCGAACGGAAAGGCCCUGCUUGCUUGGUGUGCCCGGGUGGCGACCGGGUGCGUAACACGUGAGUAUCCUGCCCUUGACUUUGGGAUAACUUCAGGCAACUGGGGCUAAUCCCGGAUAGGCGUUCCUGCUUCAUGGUGGGUGCUGCAACGUUUCGGCGGUUGGGGGUGGACUCGCGGCUUUUCAUCUUGUUGGUGGGGUGGUGGCUUACCAAGGCUUUGACGGGUCGCGGGCCUGAGAGGGUGACCGGCAACAGUGCCACAGAGAUACGGGACGGACUCGUGAGGGAGGCAGCAGUGGGGAAGAGUGCACGAUGGGCCGAAGCCUGAUGCAGCAACGCGGCGUGAGGGAUGACGGCCUGCUGGUUGGAGACGGCUAUCGCCUGUGACGAAGCGUGAGUGAAGGUAACGGAUGAAUAAGCACCGGCUAACUACGUG
rnacentral:rRNA from 1 species